GUGGGUGUAGCUCAGUCGGUAGAGCACUGGAUUGUGGCUUCAGAUGUCGCGGGUUCAAGCCCCGUCACUCACCCCA
rnacentral:tRNA from 1 species